rnacentral:rRNA from 1 species
CGGAGGAUCCAAGCGUUAUCCGGAUUCAUUGGGUUUAAAGGGUGCGUAGGCGGAAUAAUAAGUCAGUGGUGAAAGCCCUUCGCUUAACGAAGGAACUGCCAUUGAUACUGUUAAUCUUGAGUACAUUUGAUGUGGGCGGAAUGUGUCAUGUAGCGGUGAAAUGCUUAGAUAUGACACAGAACACCGAUUGCGAAGGCAGCUCACAAAACUGUAACUGACGCUGAGGCACGAAAGCGUGGGUAUCAAACAGGAUUAGAUACCCUGGUAGUCCACGCUGUAAACUAUGAUUACUCGAUGUUUGCGAUAUACUGUAAGCGUCUAAGCGAAAGCAAUAAGUAAUCCACCUGGGGAGUACGCUCGCAAGAGUG